rnacentral:rRNA from 1 species
GACGAACGCUGGCGGCGUGCUUAACACAUGCAAGUCGAACGGAAAGGCCCUGCUUUUGUGGGGUGCUCGAGUGGCGAACGGGUGAGUAACACGUGAGUAACCUGCCCUUGACUUUGUGAUAACUUCAGGAAACUGGGGCUAAUACCGGAUAGGAGCUCCUGCUGCAUGGUGGGGGUUGGAAAGUUUCGGCGGUUGGGGAUGGACUCGCGGCUUAUCCGCUUGUUGGUGGGGUAGUGGCUUACCAAGGCUUUGACGGGUAGCCGGCCUGGGAGGGUGACCGGCCACAUUGGUCCUGAGAGAGGGCCCAGUCUCGUACGUGAGGCAGCAGUGGAGAAUAUUGCACAAUGGGCGGAAGCCUGAUGCAGCAACGCCGCGUUCGGGAUGACGGCCUUCGGGUGGUAAACCGCUUUCGCCUGUGACGAAGCGUGAGUGACGGUAAUGGGUAAAGAAGCACCGGCUAACUACGUG